UGUUUCCUGCUAUGUAGUGGAGGUCUGUUAGUACAGAGGACGUCUGGGGAUUUUUGUCUUUACUCCAGCUAGUGGUCCCUCUCUCAAUUCUCUUUAUUUCGAAACUUCACCGCUGGUAAAAAGAUUUCACCAUUUGUUGGUGCUACUGCAAGGUUAUCAAAUAUGCCGGCAAUUAUGUUUGUUGCUGACCCAUGUAAGGAACAAAUCUUUAGCAGCCAAAGGUUUACCGACUUCACAAAAUCCAUCACAAUUAUUCAGCUGCUGCCUCUAGUCUAUCAACUCUGGAUAUGACUUAUGCAGUCUCAUUUGUAUGGCAAGAAGAACAAAACAGUUGACCAGUAAUUUUUUUUCCAUGACUUGAAUAACCUCAUCAUAAAAUUCAUUUAGCUCAACGUCCUUUAUCUUAGAUACCAUAAUCAAUCAUCAGCCAGUACAAGAUGUUAUGCAAGACGUGAAGCAAAUCAAAAGUCAUGGCAUGCUUAACCAAAAAUCUUGCAAUAGUUGGCGGCGAAUCACCCAUGAGUCUGCUGCAUCGUGAGCCAAACUUCUUGCCUUACUGUACCUACUAUGCAUUAAGUACCAAUCCUAUCCAUCACACCAAGGCCAUGAGCAGUACAUGCUCAUACCCAUUGCCAUCCAAUUGAGUCUUGUCGUGCAUCAGUAGCAAUAACCAAGAGCUCGCUACUAUUUCAUCUUCAUUUGCUGGUUUUGGUAACUCUAUUACCUAGCUUCACAGGUACAUGCUCUGCCGUCAUGGGGAGUUGCUUGGUCUGGGUACAAAAGAUGUUCUGUUAAUGGGCAACAAGCUGCGAACACACACUCCACAGACGGUGGCAAGUUACAGUAAAGGAGAACAAUCAUAAGCUGCAGUGGAUCUUAAGGCAUCCAAAGUUGCUAACGAGAACCGGAAUCAAGGCUGAUGCCGAGACAAACUGCAAAAGAUGUCACUGGAAAAUAGAAGCAGUAACAACCAAACGACACGUCACAGAGCUGCAGCAAAAUCGCAUACCGCCAAACACCAAUGCGAGAAUAGCUGACAGUCCAACGGCAACGGAGCCUAAUGAACAGUAACCACCUCACAACACUGCAAGCACUAACAAAGGCGGAGGGAAAGGAUAAUACUGAUAAGUGUGCUGCUUCCAUGAGCGUUGGCGUUGGCCACUUCUCUGAUCCUGCUGGUCUUUAAGGCCUCGCACAUUUCCUAGAGCACAUGAUGUUUUAUGCCAGCGAGAAGUACCAUGUGGAAGAUGGUUAUUCCGGGUAUAUUACUGAUCAUGGAGGAAGCACCAAUGCUUUUACAUCUUCUGAGAGCACCAAUUUUUUUUAACACUGAUGGUUUUUAAGAGGCUCUUGACAACUUCGCUCAAUUCCUGACUACACCAUUGAUGUCCGUUGAUGCUACCAUGAGGGAAAUUAAAGCUGUUGACUCUGAAAACCAGAAAAAUUUAUUGUCCGAUGAGUGGAGAAUGAACCAGCUUCAGAAACAUCUCACUGCUGAAGAUCACCCAUAUCAUAAAUUUAGCACAGGGAACUGGGACACUUUUGAAGUUAGACCAAAAGAAAAAAGGAAUGGACAUAAGGAAUGAGCUUAUCAAAUUCCAUGAAGAGAUAUAUUCUGCUAAUCUAAUGCACCUCAUCAUAUAUACGAAUGAAAUCCUUGAUAAAAUUCAAAACCUUGUUGAAGAAAAGUUCCAGACAAACUCUUGGACCAGACAAGUGUAACAUAUCUCUUUCCCAUCACAAAGUAUCUCGGUUUACUAGCAACUGGCAUGACAGUUGAUGCUAGGACACUGGUGCAACAAGCAAGAAAUGAAGUAUCCGAGUUUUGCCACAAAUAUGGAUAUGAGAUGCCUGUGGAUGUGUUGGCUAAAUGGAUUGCAGACAAGUCGCAAGUCUAUACUCAACAUGCUUAUAUGAGACCAUUGGAAGUAGUUGCUAUGGUCCUGGGUAGUGAUGACAAAUAAGAGUUAAUUCAGAACCAAAGAACUGGAAUCCUCAGUUGUUAACCUCCAAACCAAGAAUUGAUACAAGUGUUAACAGGAUUCGCUCAAUUCUAACCAACGAAAUUCAACCCAACCGCAACUGCAAAACACAUCUAAGAAUCCUCUAACCGCCUAGCUUCUUCCAACAGAACCACGAUCUUCAAUCUAACAAAUAUGCACCGACGAGCCGUUAGGAAAUGAUGCAUCAAGGAUACCGCAAUAGCAGUCUGGAACUGACUUCCGACUAAACCGUUUCAGCCAAACUUUCUAACCAAAACCUGCAACAUCGCAGCCAGCGGUACAACCCUCCGGCAACAUGAUCAACAAUCCAACAAGUCAAGACAAACACCAUUUGUCUCCAUCAGUAGGGAAAGGAAAAUUGAGGGUAACGUUUUUCAUGACUGUGGUGGGCAUUGCAAUGAAACUUAGAACCAAAGCUACCAAUUGACUAACAGAUUAACUUCAAUUGAACAAAUGUUACAGUAGAUAAACCAAGCAUUCACUAACAGGGGCUCACAGUUUAGUUCACCAAUUUGAUUUUUACCAACCUCAUCUCAUUAACUCUAACUAAUUCCAAAUUAAAAACCCAUUGGUUUUGUCACUAACGAACCUUGUGCAACUGGUUUCCACAUCACCAUGAGAACCGGCUUCCGCUACAUCCGACUCAUCCGCAAAUGCUGCCCACAUGCACACGGUAGUCAUUUCUUAUAAGGUUGCGAGUGGAUAUCCUGCUUUGGAGAAGUAAGCUGAGAGAUCUACACGUUGGUCAUCAUACAUGCUGAUAAAAGGAAGUUCCAAAAGUUCCUGAACCGACAGUCUAUUCCCCGAAUCUUUCUGUAGACAUGCAGAGAUAAAUGAAUAAAAUUCUAGAUAAAAUUGUUCAGAUGGAGCACUAGGAGGAGGCUUGUCAACAAUAAGUUCCAAUAAGCUCAAAUAUACUUUCCCAUCUUUCCCUUUGAUCUGGUGGCAUAUAUGGAAACUGCCCUGUAACACACUUGAGCAAUAUUAGUCCCAAACUCUAUAUAUCGCUUUUGUAGUUGUAGCCACCCUGGUUUGAUGCCUAUGAAUGGUUAAUUCCAUCAUGAAAUUCGUUUGAAGGAAGUGUAGGGCGCGAUUCCAUUGGUAAGCUAGCAAAUUAAACGUUAAUGCAUUUUCCUUUAACUCGUUCUAUUUCUGCAGGUCCGGUGGUUUUAUGCAGAAUGGCUUUUCUGCUUGCGCCAGGUUCUACACAACCUACCCAUAGCUGCUUUCGAGAAUCUACUUCCAUAUGUUCAAGGACAGGACCUCUUGCAAUUGCAGCACGUAAAUCCCAUAUGUUGCUAUGUCCUUUUCUGGCCAAAACAAAGACAAAGAUCAGAUGCCAAUUGUAAAUCACCAGAAACUGCAGCUUCUCUAGCAAUAGCUUCUUCAACAGCCGGUACAUCAUCAGCAAACCUCAAGCUAAGAAGUCUGGCAACCUCAACGAGCUCCUCAACAUGAGCUUAUUAUUCUUGAAUUGUUGUUCUGCGCCUUUCCACAUCAACAAUGCAAUAAUAUCAAAGCCUUCAAAGUUCUCUCUAUAGGUAACUGUGUAAUAUAAAACGGAUUCUGUGGUAAUAGCUGAGGAAACAUCUUGAGACAUUGCAUAAAAAUUCUUAAUGCAUUUGGGAAUUCGUCCUGAUAGAUUGUUUUCUGAGAGAUCCAACAACUGAAUGUUUGUUAAGUAACAAAGACUCUCUAGAAGACUUCCAGAGAAUCGGUUCUUUCGUAAGCUUAACACUUGCAAUUGUUGUCUUAACCAAUACGGUAUUGGUCCUGAGAAUCUAUUACUUCCAACAUCAAGCAUGAUCAGUUCGAUGCAAUUUUUCAAGGAGACAGGAUUUGGUUGCAUCCACUUUCAAUUGGUGUAUUUCUUGUUUGCUGUAAUGUGGGAACAAAUGGUUGGCAGAAGUGAUUAUGCAGAUUGCGCCCAAACAUCCAGAUGCAAUCUGUCUGUCGCGGGAUUGCUGCGACUGAGAUGCGAACGACUUUGAGGCAUUUUGUUGCAAUUGUUGCUGCAUUGAAACCUUUGGUUGUUGCAACAUGUGUGCAGAAUGAUGGCUUGUUGUUCUUGAAACGAUUUACAAAGCGUGAGACUGAGAGUUCUAGCCUUGAGUUUCAAAGAUUUCAAGCGGCGUAUGACAUCAUCCAGAAGUUGGAUUGGGUCCUUAAUAUUUUUCACAUAAAGAGUAAUUUUUUCUUUUUUUCAGGAAUUCCUCCACCUGGCUUUAACUCAGGGUUGUGGUAACCGCAAGCAUCGCAUGUAGAUGCCAUAACAAUUACUUCUUGAAAAUACGGAAUAUUAGUGACAACAUUCGAGUUUCACACUUAGAGGUACAAGUUCCACAAGUUGACGGGAAAGUCAUCACCUCUUCUGGUGCACUAUAUCGAAAUAAGGCAUCUGCGAUUCCUGCACUAUUACUUUGUGCAAUAGCUCGUUGACCAGCGGCUUCCCCAACUGACCCGUGGGGUUGUCUACUCGUUCUCCUAAAAGCCGUUGCUUCUCCACUUUCCAGCACUUCAUCACGAGUUCCUUCAUCCUGUGUAGAAUAUCCCAACAAUACUUGUUGCUCAGGUGUUCGGUCAUAAAACUUGAUAGUGAGAUGAUGGAUCAGAUGAUGGUGCAAAAGGAUUUUCGAUGUGACUGUUUCCAGCAGGAUCAUCAAUAAUAAACGUGAAAGAAGAUUCUGCUGUGGAACAGGCUCGCAACUUCACUAGGAACUAAUCUAUUGCAUCAACUGUCUCUGGAGCAACUUUUCUGCGUUCCUCUUGAAGGGCCUAAAGUUCAUCAGCAACUCACAUUAAUAUCCCUUCAACCGUUGACAGACUACCAUGUUGUGUGUUAUACGGUGAACUGACUUUUGUGUUUUGCUUUGAAAAGCAAUGUCGCGGAUAGCAAGAGUCGCCACCGACUUUUCUUUUAUCCAAUAAGGAAAGGCGGAAAAGAACAGGAAAGACCUUGAUUAGAUUUUGGGUUCGGGAGGUACAUUAUACAAAGGGAAGGUGUUAGCACCCUUUGUAUCCAUGGUUAUCCAUGGGCUCUUAAUUGCUUAGCUCACUUGUGUUUUCCUUGUUCGAGAAAUGUGGUGUGUUUAGAACAUAUUUUGAAAGGAGAGUUUAACUUGAUAAUGAUUCUUGUACGAA